UAGUCCACGCCGUAAACGAUGGACACUAGCUGUCGGGCCCUUGCGGCUCGGCGGCCAAGCGAAAGUGAUAAGUGUCCCACCUGGGGAGUACGUUCGCAAGAAUGAAACUCAAAGGAAUUGACGGGGGCCCGCACAAGCGGUGGAGCAUGUGGUUUAAUUCGAUGAUACGCGAGGAACCUUACCAGGGCUUAAAUGGGAAAUGACAGGAGCAGAGACGCUCUUUUCUUCGGACAUUUUUCAAGGUGCUGCAUGGUUGUCGUCAGCUCGUGCCGUGAGGUGUCAGGUUAAGUCCUAUAACGAGCGCAACCCCUGUUGUUAGUUGCCAGCGAGUAAUGUCGGGAACUCUAGCAAGACUGCCGGUGCAAACCGUGAGGAAGGUGGGGAUGACGUCAAAUCAUCACGGCCCUUACGUCCUGGGCUACACACGUGCUACAAUGGUAGGUACAAUGAGCAGCCACUGCGUGAGCAGGAGCGAAUCUAUAAAACCUAUCACAGUUCGGAUCGG
rnacentral:rRNA from 1 species